ensembl:snoRNA snoRNA:CG32479-a
AAUCAUUCAAUCACCACAGACAAGUCAACAGACACUUCGGCACCAUUUCUCAGCCGGCGUCUGUGUUACGUUCGUGGAAGAUGAAACGCUCAGCCUCGCCUGCGUUUGGUGAUUGUUUCCGUUCUGGCGAUGGUCACCAGACGUUGGGGUUGAUGCACGUGCUCCGCUUUUUAAUAGAGAUAAUUGUAUUCAAUAGUUUUUUCAACAGUGGGCACAAACAAUAAAU